rnacentral:rRNA from 1 species
CACGAAGUUAGCCGGUGCUUAUUCCUCAGGUACCGUCAGCCCCACCGGUUAUUAACCGGUAGUAUUUCGCUCCUGAUAAAAGUGCUUUACAACCCGAAGGCCUGCUUCACCCACGCGGCAUUGCUGGAUCAGGCUUGCGCCCAUUGUCCAAUAUUCCCCA